UACGUAGGGGGCAAGCGUUGUCCGGAUUUAUUGGGCGUAAAGAGCGUGUAGGCGGUCAGGUAGGUCGGUUGUGAAAACUGGAGGCUCAACCUUCAGAGGUCGGCCGAAACCCCCUGGCUAGAGUCCGGGAGAGGAGAGUGGAAUUCCGUGGAUGUAGCGGUGAAAUGCGCAGAUAUCAGGAAGAACACCCGUGGCGAAAGCGGCUCUCUGGAACGGUACUGGACGCUGAGACGCGAAAGCGUGGGGAGCGAACAGG
rnacentral:rRNA from 1 species